AUGACCACAACUAAAGAAUCAUUGUGGAAUCUGAAAAGAUACAUAUCCCAAAAGCAUGAUGCUAUACUUACUAUGAACACUAUCCAUCCCUUUCUAUCCACCACUUUCUAUCCACCCCUUUCUAUCCACCCCUUUCUAUCCACCCCUUUCUAUCCACCCCUUUCUAUCCACCACUUUCUAUCUAUCCCUUUCUAUCCACCACUUUCUAUCCACCCCUUUCUAUCCAUCCCUUUCUAUCUAUCCACCACUUUCUAUCCACCCCUUUCUAUCCAUCCCUGUCUAUCCACCCCUUUCUAUCCUCCACUUUCUAUCCAUCCCUGUCUAUCCACCCCUUUCUAUCCACCACUUUCUAUCCACCCCUUUCUAUCCACCCCUUUCUAUCCACCCCUUUCUAUCCACCCCUUUCUAUCCACCACUUUCUAUCUAUCCCUUUCUAUCCAUCACUUUCUAUCCACCCCUUUCUAUUCAUCCCUUUCUAUCCACCCCUUUCUAUCUAUCCACCACUUUCUAUCCACCCCUUUCUAUCCAUCCCUGUCUAUCCACCCCUUUCUAUCUAUCCAACACUUUCUAUCUAUCCACCCCUUUCUAUCAACCACUUUCUAUCCAUCCCUGUCUAUCCACCCCUUUCUAUCUAUCCACCACUUUCUAUCUAUCCACCCCUUUCUAUCCAUCCCUUUCUAUCCACCACUUUCUAUUCAUCCCUUUCUAUACACCCAUUUCUAUCUACCACUUUCUAUCAGCACCUUCUAUCAUCAAUUUCUAUCCACCACUUUCUAUCAGCACUUUCUAUCAGCACUUUCUAUCCACCCCUUUCUAUCAGCACUUUCUAUCCACCCCUUUCUAUCAGCACCUUCUAUCAUCAAUUUAUUUCCACCACUUUCUAUCAGCACUUUCUAUCCACCCCUUUCUAUCAGCACUUUCUAUCCACCCCUUUCUAUCAGCACUUUCUAUCCACCCCUUUCGAUCAGCAGUUUCUAUCCACCCCUGUCUAUCCAUCCUUUUUCUAUCCAUCCCUUUCUAUCAGCACUUUUUAUGCACCCUUUUCUAUCCACCCCUUUCUAUCCAUCCCUUUUCUAUCCACCCCUUUCUAUCAGCAGUUUCUAUCCACCCCUUUCUAUCCAUCCCUUUUCUAUCCACCCCUUUCUAUCAGCAGUUUCUAUCCUCCCCUUUCUAUCCAUCCCUUUUCUAUCCACCAAUUUCUAUCAGCACUUUCUAUCCACCCCUUUCUAUCCACCACUUUCUAUCCACCCCUAUGUAUCCAUCCCUUUCUAUCCACCACUUUCUAUCCACCCCUAUGUAUCCAUCCCUUUCUAUCCACCCCUUUCUAUCCACCCCUUUCUAUCCACCACUUUCUGUCCACCACUUUCUAUCCACCCCUAUGUAUCCAUCCCUUUCUAUCCACCCCUUUCUAUCCACCACUUUCUAUCCACCCCUAUGUAUCCAUCCCUUUCUAUCCACCCCUUUCUAUCCACCCCUUUCUAUCCACCACUUUCUGUCCACCCCUAUGUAUCCAUCCCUUUCUAUCCACCCCUUUCUAUCCACCCCUUUCUAUCCACCACCUUUCUAUCCACCCCUUUCUAUCCAUACCAUUCUAUCCACCACUUUCUAUCCAUACAAUUCUAUCUACCCCUAUGUAUCCAUCCCUUUCUAUUUACCACUUUCUUUCCAGCACUUUCUAUCCAGCUGUCACGUUCUGACCUUAGUUCCUUUUUUAUGUCUUUGUGUUAG
rnacentral:lncRNA from 1 species